rnacentral:rRNA from 1 species
CACGUAGGGCGCAAGCGUUGUCCGGAAUUAUUGGGCGUAAAGAGCUCGUAGGCUGUCUGUUGCGUCUGCUGUGAAAACCCGGGGCUUAACCCCUGGCUUGCAGUGGAUACGGACAGACUAGAGGUAGGUAGGGGAGAAUGGAAUUCCCGGUGUAGCGGUGAAAUGCGCAGAUAUCGGGAGGAACACCGGUGGCGAAGGCGGUUCUCUGGGCCUUACCUGACGCUGAGGAGCGAAAGCGUGGGGAGCGAACAGG